rnacentral:lncRNA from 1 species
AGGCCAAAUAAACUAGAGGCUCUAAAGAGCCUGUGUCGCUCACCUUGGUCUAUGUGAAUAUUAAACAAAGGAAGCAGAUUGAAAAUUGACUACAAAGGUCAAUAACUCCUACAGGGGUCAAUUGACCAUUUCGUUCAUGUUGACUUAUUUGUAGAUCUUACUUUGCUGAACAUUAUUGCUGUUUACAGUUUACCUAUAUCUAUAAUAAUAUUCAAUAUAAUAACCAAAAACAGCAAAAUUUCCUUAAAAUUACCAAUUCAGGGGCCGCAACCCAAAAACAGGUUGUCCAAUUCAUCUGAAAAUUUCAGGGCAGAUAGAUCUUGACCUGAUUAACAAUUUUACUUCAUGUCAGAUUUUCUCUAAAUUAUUUGGUUUUUGAGUUAUAAGCCAAAAACUGCAUUUUACCCCUAUGUUUAUUUUUAGCCGUGGCGGCCAUCUUGGUUUGAUGGCCAGGUCACCGGACACAUUUUUUAAACAAGAAACCCCAAAGAUGAUUGUGGCCAAGUUUGGAUCAAUUUGGCACAGCAUUUCAGAGAAGAAGAUUUUAGUAAAAGAUAUAUAAAAUUUACGAAAAAUGGUUAAAAAUUGACUUUAAAGGGCAAUAACUCCUAAAGAGGUCAACUGACCAUUUUGGUCAUGUUGACUUAUUUGUAAAUCUGACCUUGCUGAACAUUAUUGCUGUUUACAGUUUACCUAUAUCUAUAAUAAUAUUCAAUAUAAUAACCAAAAACAGCAAAUUUCCUUAAAAAUUACCAAUUCAGGGGCCGCAACCAAAAACAGGUUGUCCAAUUCAUCUGAAAAUUUCAGGGCAGAUACAUCUUCACCUGAUUAACAAUUUUACCCAAUGUCAGAUUUGCUCUAAAUGCUUUGGUUUUUGAGUUAUAAGCCAAAAACUGCAUUUUACCCCUAUGUUCUAUUUAUAGCCAUGGCGGUCAUCUUGGUUAGUUGGCGGGGUCACCGGACACAAUUUUUAAACUAGAUACCCCAAUGAUGAUUGUGGCCAAGUUUCAAAUAAUUUGGCCCAGCAGUUUCAGAGGAGAAGAUUUUUCUAAAAGAUUACUAAGAUUUACGAAAAAUGGUUAAAAAUUGACUAUAAAGGCAAUAACUCCUAAAGUGGUCAACUGAUCAUUUUGGUCAUGUUGACUUAUUUGUAGAUCUUACUUUGCUGAACAUUAUUGCUUUUUACAGUUUAUCUCUAUCUGAAAUAAUAUUCAAGAUAAUAACCAAAAACAACAAAAUUUCCUUAAAAUUACCAAUUCAGGGGCAGCAACCUAACAACGGAAUGUCAGAUUCAUCUGAAAAUUUCAGGGCAGAUAGAUCUUAACCUGAUUAACAAUAUUACCCCAUGUCAGAUUUGCCCUAAAUGCUUUGGUUUUUGAGUUAUAAGCCAAAAACUGCAUUUUACCCCUAUGUUCUAUUUAUAGCCAUGGCGGCCAUCUUGGUUAGUUGGCGGGGUCACCGGACACAAUUUUUAAACUAGAUACCCCAAUGAUGAUUGUGGCCAAGUUUGGUUAAAUUUGGCCUAGUAGUUUCAGAGGAGAAGAUUUUUGUAAAAGUUAACGCCGGACGCAGGACGACGACGACGGACGACGACGACGACGGACGCCGGACGCCAAGUGAUGAGAAAAGCUCACUUGGCCCUUUGGGCCAGGUGAGCUAAAAAUGAAGCUCACUG